UACAGGGGGUGCAAACGUUGCUCGGAAUCAUUGGGCGUAAAGCGCACGUAGGCGGUUCGUUAUGUCGGAUGUGAAAGCCCUUGGCUUAACCGAGGAAGUGCAUCCGAAACUGGCGAGCUAGAGUCCGGAAGAGGCGAGUGGAAUUCCUGGUGUAGCGGUGAAAUGCGCAGAUAUCAGGAGGAACACCAAUGGCGAAGGCAGCUCGCUGGGACGGUACUGACGCUGAGACGCGAAAGCGUGGGGAGCAAACAGG
rnacentral:rRNA from 1 species